GCACACGUGGCAUAGUGGUUUGAAUGCUGGACUACAACUCUGGAGACCAGGGUUUGAUUCCCAGCUCAGCCA
rnacentral:tRNA from 1 species